rnacentral:miRNA from 1 species
CACCUCAUCGACCGGAAGGGAUUCCUUCCGGUUGAUGGUGUUGUUGUAUCUCAUCGGCCGGAAGGAUAUCCUUCCGAUCGAUGAGGUG